GUUGUCUUGGCUCAAAUGGAAGAGCGCAUGGUUUUUAACCAUGUAGUUGUGGGUUCGACUCCCAUAGAUGGCA